rnacentral:rRNA from 1 species
CCUACGGGGGGCAGCAGUGGGGAAUAUUGCACAAUGGGCGAAAGCCUGAUGCAGCAACGCCGCGUGAGCGAUGAAGGUCUUCGGGUCGUAAAGCUCUGUCCUAAGGGAAGAAUAUUGACGGUACCUUAGGAGGAAGCCCCGGCUAACUACGUGCCAGCAGCCGCGGUAAUACGUAGGGGGCUAGCGUUAUCCGGAAUUAAUGGGCGUAAAGGGUUCGUAGGCGGCCCUUCAAGUCAGAGGUCAAAGGCUACGGCUCAACCGUAGUAAGCCUUUGAAACUGUAGGGCUUGAGUGCAGGAGAGGUAAGUGGAAUCACCAGUGUAGCGGUGCAAUGCGUAGAUAUUGGGAGGAACACCAGUUGAGAGGGCGGCUCUCUGGAGUGUAACUGACGCUGAGGAACGAAAGCGUGGGGAGCGAACAGGAUUAGAUACCCUGGUAGUC